rnacentral:lncRNA from 1 species
AACUUCAAUUUUAAUCUGGAUAACGCCAAAGCUUUUCCUCAAAUUCACCCCUGGAGUCAGCUCAUAGAUGCUCUGAUUUUGUCUACCAUUGCUCCUCCUUAAUAUCUCUCGCACAGGUGCCAUUGACCUUUAGAUGGGCUGUACGGUGUGGGGUUCGGUGCCAUGGAUCUGCUUCUCCAGGGACCAGGAUCUUGAGAUCUUCAGGCUGGGUUUCCAUGGAGGCAUGGAGCUGCUUUUCCUCCUUCAUAACUGCACUCAAAACAGCCCUGUUGCUCUAGAAUGGAGACUUGGGCAACUCCUUCUGGCACAGAUUUGUUCACCUCAGGUGAAAUUCAGAUAGAAGCAAGCUGCAGGCAGUUUCACCUCUAAGUCCAUGGGUUCUCAACUGGUAACGUCCUCUUAUGGAUGUUAGCCCAUGAGGUCAAUCCUGUAGCAAUCUAAGGCUUGAGAAAAAUUAAUCUUCUGGAAAAUUCCAAGAAUACAUCUUAGGGAAACUGGCUCUACCUUUAUGACUUGGAUCACACAAGGAUAUGCUUUUCAUCUUGGACUAGAACUGAGAGCCAAUGGAUGUGUUAUCUAAAACUAUCCCAGUGUGUUCACUAUACAGAGGAAGAUUCUGAGAUUCAAGACUCAAGACUGAAGAAGAUCAUUAUUUUUAUUAUUUUAGUCUUAUGCACAAAAUGAUAUCUACUGAAUAAGCAGGUUUUUAAUAGGUGACUUAUAUAUGUUAGCAAAAAUAAACACUUUGUCUUUUAGAUCUAUUCUAGUUUUUCAGUAGCUGUAGACUUAAGUGCUAACUUUUAGCCCAUAGGAUAAGAAGAAACCAAGUCCUAAAAGUAGGCCAGCACCAGGGUUCAGGCCUCUGACUUCAAGCCAAGGGCUCAUCAUCUUGAAUUGCGCACGAAUUUUUACACAGCGCCAAAGGAAACUGCCUGUACUUACUGUUGUAGGUGCUUUGCUGGAUUCAGGAUGCAGACAAGGUCCACGCAUUGUGGUUGGUUCAGUCCCGGAGCAGACACAAC